ensembl:lncRNA
AAGAGAUUGGAAUUUUAACCUGAGUAAUGAUUACCAUUAAAAGGCUGUUUUUCUUCAGCCUGAAGUUCUGGUAGCUUGACUAAAAACAAGGACUGCUGUGCAGUUAUGACCUUGAGCUGGUGACUGUUCAACUACAAAGCUAAGGUGCUGCUUGUGAGGAAGUAUCUGUACCUAUGAAAAAAGGCUCUGCUACUCCAGUUUCAUCCUACAGACCCUGAUUGCCUUAAACUAUUCUUUUUCAACAGCUGUAAGAAGUUAUGAUGCGAAAGGUAUUGUGAACAUUUCUUUAAAGAUUGGCACAACAAUCCAUCUCUUAAGGGUCCCGUAUUGUAUGAACACCUUUAAGUAUUCCACCAUCAAGCAAACACAUAAAACUAUGUAUCAUGGUAUUUCUAGCUGACAGUUGUUGCAUGCCUUCCUGUUUUUAAUGCAUUUAAGGACUCUUGCUGAGACAAGUGGGGAGUUAUGAGUUGAGCUGAGUUUAAGGGGUCUGCGAUCAGGAGGCAGAUUGAGCCACAGCAGUGCCUAGAUACUGUGAUGUUUUUUCUCACUUUCUUUCACUCGUAGAAUAAGUAUUUAGGAAUGAGUAUACCCUGAUGGACAAUAUUUGGGAAUAUGUACUGCUGAUGGAUGUAAGUCUACUUGUUCACUUGGUUAAAAUAUAUAUCUUAUAUCUGUGUAUAAACACAAGGUAACUUUGGAGCUUUCAGUAGAAUUACUCCAGAGGAGCCUCACUCCAAAUCCUGUCACAUCCCUAGAUACUUCUUAAGGUUGUCCUAGAUCUUGUCUCCUAACCAGUCCAGGGACUUGCUGCUAUGCCCAUCUGACCAUGCAUUAGGUUUCUGUGGACAGAAGCCCGUGGAAGUAAAAGGCUGACCUCAGCAUGGAGUUAAGAUGCAGUCAAGACCAAGGAGCCCAGAAGAACUCAAACAUCUCCUAGUUUACGUAUAGGCGAGGUCCCCUGUGCAGAUGGCAGGUAAAGAGAGGAAAUCUGUAGGUCAUAAAUCUGUAUUUACUUGGCUGAAUAAAGAACCUGAUUGUUGGAGAUUUAAAAACAAACAAAAUCCCAACAACUGUAUCUUCACAUUAGAGAAACAAGCAUUAUUUUAUGGGACGUCCAUAAGUAAGCGAGGUGCCUUCGGGUACUUGGCUUGGGCAUGCAGUGUGAUUGACUGUUUGACCCAGAGACGUUUGGUCUGUUUUUUAACCAUGAAGAAAUUACUUCUAGUAACAUUUCCCAAACAGUACUAAUGCCAAUAGUACAUACUUCUUAGCUGAUAUGUUGAAAGAAAUUAACACAACAUUUCCAUUCUUGAGUUAUUGAAGUCACCGAGUUAUUAAAGCACAGAAAAUACCUGAAACUGAAACCAGAAAAGUGAGAUUUUUCCACACUUAAAAAAAACAAGACUGCCCAUGAACAGAACCUUUCAUACCAAAACACACUCCCACAGCUUCUGAAACUAUAAAAGAAACAAAAGAAGAGGAAAAGAAAGGGAAUUUUACUGUAACUGGGAGCAAUGGCAGAUUUUUAAGAGUAAGGAAUAAGUAUGGAUGCUGACAGUGGUUCUUAAUGUCUGAGGAUGAGUUUUUGUUUAGGCAUGAAUAACUGAAGAUGCAGGAGAAAUUCUCUUAAUGGGAGGAGAAGUAAUGCUGGAGAAGCGGUCUGAAUUUAUUUCACGCAAUACUUUUUUAAUAACAGUGUCGAUUAAAGACACCUGCUGAAGGUCUGUAAUGCUGGUUUACUGGGGAGAAAAAAUAACAAAGUUCUUUAGCCAUCCUGUCUUCGGUUCAAUAUUAUGGACUGUUAAAAGGGGGUUUAUGUGUGCAGUGUUAUUAACCGAGAUUCUGCUCAAAUUGAAGUCAGGCCCACAAACCUUGCUUUCUAUAGGACCUUGCUAGGUUUCUAAAAGAAUUUAAAACUGUACAAGAUAAUUAGUACGUUCUUGCUAUAUUUAGGAUAUUUUAAAGGCAGUCAGUCUUGGUAGAUAUGUUUCUGAACACUUGUGCUCUCUCUUAUCACAUGUGAUUUCUUUCUAGUGAGGUUAAAGUGCAACAAAAAUGGACCAAUGUCCUGUAUGAAGUCAUUACUAUUACUAGAGAGAAGAAGAAAAUCUACCUCCAAAGUGACCAAAGUAUAACUUGUAAUAGAACACCCAAUAUUUUCUGCUGGUUUUGUCAAGGCUAGAAGAUAUGGGCUCAGUUAUGAGACACGUUGCGGCAGAUGGCGAUGGGGACGGAACCCCGAAGACUGUGGCCUGGAAAAGAAAUUGAAGUCUGAGUUUAUAGCGAGCGCAAUGUUGUCUAACUAUGUUUAAUAUCGCCAUUUGUUUAAGCUUAAAUUAUGACGAUGAAGAUAAAGUAAUAACACACUGCGUUUUCAUCACUUGAGUUUGGAGAGGCCUCGUCUUUUUCCGUGCCUGUAGUCCUGAUGAUGAUUCCUUUGGCAGCUCUGCCGGCGAUAAGAGGAAUAACUCACCGCUGUCAGGGAAGCUGGCUGUUUCAUCACUGACAUGAGAGCCCGGCGUAACUCCAUGGUGAUCGCUGUCUAAAUGACUUAUUUUAGGAGGUGUUCCUUCAUGGAAAAGUGGGACGUGUGGUCUUCCUCAGUGUCCAGAAACAGACUGCUGUGUUGCACAGAAUCAAAAAACUAACAGAAUUUGUGGCAACAGGUGAAGCAGGGUUUCAGCUCCACCCUUCCCCACACGCAGGGAGUGCUUCAGAUGGAAAGCAGCCUGCUGUGUACCCCUGUGAGCAGUACUGGGAGCACCUCCUGUGGGUGUGGACACACCGUGCAUUCUGAGAGCAAAAUCUGCCAAUCAGGGCCAAUCACAUGAGUGAUUCUGCGGAGGCUGAAGCAGGAUUGCCGAACUCAUUGUCAUGCGUGGCUAAACAGAGAAUUGAACCUUGUGAAAGGUUAGUGAUUUUAGAUAAUUUUAAAACGAUUGCACAGGAGGUGAUACAGCUGCUGUCAGUCUACCCUAAUCCUGUUCUCCGCUGGAUCUGCCCUUGCAGAGGCACUGCUUUCUCUCAGUGAUUAAGGGGAGACAUUGCUUUCAGAGGUGCUGAUUCAGCAGAGCAAAGAGUCAGUAAAUUAGCAAUGACUGUAAGGGAAUUUUAAAUAUUGGUAGAGUACCAAACUUCUACUGUUAUAGUGUCUUGGAGAAGAAAUUCUAAUUAAGUUACUCUACCAGGAAGUGUGGGAGAGAUGACAGUCACAAUACAGAAUAAUGGGGAAACUGUAUAUCCGGGUUUUGGGUUCUCAGUGUCACUGCUACAACGUGAUGCUAAAGGACCAUGAAAGAAUAACCAAGUGUAGCUGUAUACGUUCUACUGGACUGUUUAUGUAGUCACAAAGUGAUACAGAUUCUUGAUAUGUAAAUUAAAACAAAACAAAAAAAAACUGUCAUGACAGAAUGCAACAUCCUACAUACUAUCAUUUGCAUGUCUUGAAAAUACAAAUUGUUUGGUUAGUGAGACAAGUAACUCUACCCCUAAACUUAAAUAGUGAUCAGUCAGUGUGCUGACCUUGAAGCAAUACGCCAGUUACUGUGAAAAAAUAGUGGAGACUCAAUGACAGUGUAGAUCACUAUGCAAAGUGACCAUACUAACAGGUUAUCUUCCUGUGGAUGAGACAUGCAAAAGUAAAACACUUUUUUACCUAACUUAUGUAUGGGUAACAAACUGAUAGAAGAAAUGUGAGUCAGCAAGCAUAGAUAGGUGAAGUGGGAAGGAAGGGAAUGACUGUACGUCUCGUAGGACAAAGAAGAAGUAAACAAAAAAACUGCACGAUAUUUUUCCAUGUUAUGCCCUGGAAAAGUUAAAUGUUAAGGUGUUUUUACUAGGCUGUGUAUUUAUGCAAAGAGAGUGCUUUGGUAUUCUUGGUCAGAAGUGCUAGAUUUCUGUAGGAUAUUUACCACAUAAAUCAUGGCAACAACAGGUUUUGUGUCUGCAUUACUUUACUCGAUCAGAGUACCUUGCUGAGAUAAGAAAUGUAAACCAGGCUGAAGCAACUUAGAAGUUAUCUUAAAAUAUCUAUUGCAUGAAAAUUGUGCCGUUAUAUUGCUACAACACAAGUAUUUGUUAUAUUUAGACUAGAUAUGGACUGAAAACGGGGACGUAAACACCCCAUGUGAGCACAUUUACUAUCAGAAAAUCAACUGUAAUUACAAUAGCAUGAUUUGUAAGCAAUACUUUCAAUAGUCUGCAGAGUUACUCGUUCCUGGUAGGCAAAGAUAACUGUAGAGGUAGCAGAGUGAAAUGAAGAAUCAUAGGUACUACCUUUUCUUUGUUACUUCAUUGUUCCAUGGCUCAUGUUUUCUCAACAGUAAUAAUGCUUAGAAGGGUUUGAUAGCUGCAAGCAAUAAAUACUAGUUAUCUUCAGUGUCUGUUUCUGGCAAACUCUGAAACAAGGUCAAGGAAGAACCAGAAAUUCUUUUGUAGUUGCUUCCUAUUUUACCAGCUACAUCUGUUAUAUAUUUCAAUUUGCACUGUUAUAUAUAAUGAAUACAUACCUAUACACAUGUAGGUACGUAUAUAUACGUGUAUAUAUCUUGCUGAACUUUAAGGCUGCUUUUCAGGAAUGGCUGCAACAGUCUUGGGUUCAAUAUUUUUGAAGAGCUGCAGAGGCCAAAAUAUCCACCACUAUUGUAUUCAUUUCAAUAUGAC